rnacentral:rRNA from 3 species
GUUGUAUGGUUAAGUGACUAAGCGUACACGGUGGAUGCCUUGGCAGUCAGAGGCGAUGAAAGGCGUAAUAACUUGCGAUAAGCCCAGAUUAGGUAGUAAUAACCUUU